CCGGAGGGUCGCCACGGUCUUUAAGACACAAGACUCACAAACACUUUGGCAGCUGGACGUCCCGACCGAGGAAAAGGCUAAAAUCAGGAUCAUGAUACUGGAAACAAGGACGUCGUCCUUCUUCCAGGACAUCCAGCUGUUCUGUCAUCAAACGUGGCACAAAGCAGAAGCUGCUGAACGAGGGCAUGAACUGAACGGAUCUGAAUUCCAGAAAUCUGGGACCAACGGAGUUCCUGAACCAAUAAGAGACGCCUUUGGAGGGAAGCUGUCAGCUGAUGUCAGCCUAGAGUUUCUGACGGCAUGUGGCAACAGACUGAUUUCAGCCAAACUGCAGCUGGACAGCAGCUGGAUGCAGAUCUGAUACACAAAGUCUAGAAAUGGAAAGUUGUGUCCAUCAGACCAACACAGCGGAUUCUGGGAUGUUCUGCUCUCUUGGUGAAACAAGCUAAACAUUGUCAGUCAGCACUAAUCUUUGUAACGUCAGCUCUUCAUGAACUUUCUUUAAACUUUGUGUCUAUGAACAAACUGAAGACGUGUUAAAUUUCUAGCGAGGAGUAAAUGUGGGGCUUUGCUCUGGAAUUUGACUGAGAUCUAAUAAUGAGGGAAUCUGCUGCUCUACAGAGAUGCCGAUCACCAAAGUCUGGACAACACAGCUUUUAAAGAAACCAACUGCUGACUUUUCACAUACUUUUCAGUUUAACGUAUUCAGAGAUGGACUGAAAACACUUGGUGUGCUGGACUAAAUCCAAGCUCAGCUCUUCUGUGCUGGUCUCCUGCAGCCUCUCAGCUGAUGUGGCCGACAGUCUUUUCAUUAUCCGCCAUCUCCAGCUGGCAGCAACAGAAGCUGCUGAGGAAGUUCUUCCUUUCUGGAGACACACGCAGAAAUGAGGAAGGAACAGAAACUGGGAACGAUCCUCGCCUUUUCCACAGGAGCCAACACUCCUUCACCGACUGGGUUCUCUCCUCCACAAAGAGGAGGAUUCAGGAAGCUGCAAAGCUGCCGCUGCAAACAGCUGCACUAACUGCUUGAAGCUACGCUGCAGACCUCAUACGGAGACCUUCAGGAAAACAGGGGCUCUGCGGUGGGCGGGACCCUUGGUUUUAGCCCAGCGUAAUAUGUGUACAGGUCUGGAUCAAAGUCUU